ACGGAAGGCAGCAGUGGGGAAUAUUGCACAAUGGGGGAAACCCUGAUGCAGCGACGCCGCGUGAGUGAAGAAGUUAUUCGUAAUGUAAAGCUCUAUCAGCAGGGAAGAAAAUGACGGUACCUGACUAAGAAGCCCCGGCUAACUACGUGCCAGCAGCCGCGGUAAUACGUAGGGGGCAAGCGUUAUCCGGAUUUACUGGGUGUAAAGGGAGCGUAGACGGUCGUGCAAGUCUGAUGUGAAAGGCAGGGGCUCAACUCCUGGACUGCAUUGGAAACUGUAAGACUUGAGUGCCGGAGAGGUAAGCGGAAUUCCUAGUGUAGCGGUGAAAUGCGUAGAUAUUAGGAGGAACACCAGUGGCGAAGGCGGCUUACUGGACGGUAACUGACGUUGAGGCUCGAAAGCGUGGGGAGCAAACAGGAUUAGAUACCCUGGUA
rnacentral:rRNA from 1 species